rnacentral:lncRNA from 1 species
AAGCUACAUAUGUUUCCAUGCUUUUACGUCGUUUGUGAUUCGUUGUCAUAGUAAUCACUUUUACUCUGAAAUCUACUUUUUUUUGGAAAAUGUUAGCUGUUUUUGUGUUUGUUUAAAGUGUCUGAUAUAUGUUUCUCAUUUAUAUGUAUUAUGCACAUAUGCAUCGGUUGAUAUUGAUAUAGCCCUGGCAUGACGGAUAAUGCUAAAUUCGAAGAUCACACGCCCUUAACAACUUGCCUGUUGGAUUCCUUUUUGCCUGAAUUUGACGAUUCUGGAGCUUUCCGUCGGUCAGGUGAUAGCUCUCUCUUGUGAUUUUCCUUAGCAUGUUGUGUACUAAUUUGGAGACUAGAAAUUUUACGAGAAAAGUGGUUGUUUUGAGCUCCUCUUUACAUGGGAAUGUAGAUUAUGUCUUCAAAAUUAUUCUUGUGGUAAUUAGUGUAGAUUCUGUCUUCAAAAUUAUUGCUGUAGUAAUUAAGCGUCAAUUUGUAAUUUCUUACACUAUUAAUUUCUAUCUUUCAAAAAAUAUCCCAGGCUUGCCUUUUGUGUUUGAAAAAAACUCGAGCUACCCCAGCAAUAUGCAGGAAAAUAGCGAAUACUUCAUCUGAAUUUGAGACUUGUAUCUCAGGUUAAUUAGGUUAUCUAAUUUUCAUUAUAGUCAAAUUUUGUUUGUCAUUGUUUUCUAGCAAAUAACCUGUGCGCUGAUAUAAAUUGAUUUAAUUAUAUAUGCUAGGCGAACCGGAACAGGCGAAAUAAUGCAGGAGAAAGGGGC